rnacentral:rRNA from 1 species
ACGCUCGACACCUACGGGAGCAGCAGUAGGGAAUCUUCCACAAUGGACGCAAGUCUGAUGGAGCAACGCCGCGUGAGUGAAGAAGGUCUUCGGAUCGUAAAACUCUGUUGUUAGAGAAGAACACGAGUGAGAGUAACUGUUCAUUCGAUGACGGUAUCUAACCAGCAAGUCACGGCUAACUACGUGCCAGCAGCCGCGGUAAUCUGAGGCGGGCGUGGCAAGGC